GCCAUGGUGGCCCAGUGGUUAGCUUGUCGGACUCAGGAUCGAGAGGGUACAGGUUCGAAUCCUGCCAUUGGACU